GUGUACUUUGUGUCUAAUGUGAAUGAAUGUUUUGUCAAGGAUUAGCUACCUGAUCUGCUGAAAUGAGAUAAUUGAACAAGAAAAAAGAGAACAUAUUUUUACAGAAUAAAGUGCCAGAACUGUCAAGAAAAUAACUUUUGUGUCCGUUUGUCUUUAUUACUACAGGCCGACUCAGAUUAAGUCUGAGGCCGGUAACAUCAACAGUGAGGACAAACCCAGCCUGCCACUCUCCUUCCACACUGAGUAGAAACCUACAGUCACUGGGUCCUGAUUGUGACAGUGGAGCCCAGUUUGCACCGCAGGAUCCAGAGAUGGCAUCAGUGAAGCUGGAGGACUGCAGUCAAACACUGGAGCGGAAUGUCAACAUUAAAGAUGAAGAAGAAGAGGAGGAGAAGAUUAGGACAACUGUUAGUCAUUGAUACCAUGUUGAGACAUUCUCUACAUCCAGAGAGCAACAGCAGGAAGAUCACAGAGCUAAGAGGUCUCACCACUGCCCACAUUGUGGGAAGAUUUUCCCAUUUCUAUCAAAUCUAAAAAUACACCUAAGAAAACACACAGGAGAGAAACCUUAUUCCUGCUCUGACUGUGUGGCGAGUUUCUCUCAUCUGUGCACCUUAAAAAGACACCAACGUAUACACACAGGAGAGAAGCCUUACGUCUGCUCUGACUGUGGAAAACAUUUUAAAACAUCAAAUGAGCUAAAAGUUCAUCAGAGAACACACGCAUGAGAGAAGCCUGCUUACGUCUGCUCUGACUUUUGGGUGUUUUUCUCUCACCAUCGGAACUUAACACACCAAUGUAUACACACAGGGGAGAAGCCUUACUCCUGCUCUGUGGAGGGGUGGGAGUGUAAGUCAAACGUCUAACCAAAAGCUGCGUGUUUGAAUCUUAUCAAGGAGGACUUUAGCAUUAUAGCUCAUAGCAACUUUGUAACUACUUAGUACUUUUUAGCUAUGUUAGCAUGUUAGCUAAUCUUUUCUCUAAACCCAUUUAACUCUACCUUAAAACUUCUUAGGGCUGCAAUCCCGGUAACGGGAUCGAUAUGACAACAGCCAGUGGAAGUGCAGGGCGCCAAAUUCAAAAAAACAAAUCUAAUAAUUCAAAUUCCUCAGACAUACAUGUCUUAUACCAUUUAAAAGGUAAUCUUGUUGUUAAUCCCACCAAAUUGUCAGAUUUUAAAAUAUGCUUUUCAGCGAAAGCACCACAAACGAUUAUGUUAGGUCACACCAAACCACAAUAAGCACAGCCAUUUUUCCAGCCAAAGAUAGGAGUCACAAAAAGCACAAAUAGAGAUAAAAUGAAUCACUAACCUUUGAUGAUCUUCAUCAGAUGACACUCAUAAGACUUCAUGUUACACAAUACAUGUAUGUUUUGUUUGAUAAAGUUCAUAUUUAUAUAAAAAAAUCUGAGUUUACAUUGGCGCGUUACAUUCACUAGUUCCAAAAACAUCCAGUGAUUUUGCAUAGCCACAUCGAUUCAACAGAAAUACUCAUAAUAAAUGUAGAUGAUAAUACAAGUAAUACACAUGGAAUUAUAGAUAUACCUCUCCUUAAUGCAACUGCUGUGUACGAUUUAAAAAAAAUAAAAAUAAAAACUUUACGGAAAAAGCAAACCAUGCAGUAAUCUGAGACGGCGCUCAGAACAAUUGUCAAAUUAGCCGCCAUGCUGGAGUCAACAGAAACCGGAAAUUACAUGAUAAAUGUUCCCUUACCUUUGAUGAUCUUCAUCAGAAUGCACUCCAAGGAAUCCCAGGUCCACAAUAAAUGCUUGAUUUGUUCGAUAAUGUCCGUUAUUUAUGUCCAAUUAGCUACUUUUGUUAGCGCGUUUGGUAAACAAUUCCAAAGUCACGAAGCGCGUUCCCUAAAAGCUGACGAAAUGUCCAAAAGUUCCGUAACAGUCAGUAGAAACAUGUCAAACGAUGUAUUGAAUCAAUCUUUAGAAUGUUGUUAACAUAAAUCUUGAAUAACGUUCCAACCGGAGAAUUACAUUGACUUCAGAUGAGCUAUGGAUCAGAGCUCCCUCUUUUAUGUGAACGCACGCGCAUGGUCAAAGAAUGGUCAGGUCGUAGCAGACCUGACUAAUUCCUCUCUCAUUCGACCCCCCUUCAGUUCUACAGACGGUUGACAUCUAGUGGAAGCCGUAGGAAGUGAAAACUCAUUCAUAUCUCGCUGUGAUUUCAAUGGGAUCUUGGUUGAAAAUCGACCAGCCUAAUAAUUUCCACUUCCUGUUAAGAUUUUUUCUCAGGUUUUUGUCUGCCAUAUGAGUUCUGUUAUACUCACAGACAUAAUUCAAACAGUUUUAGAAACUUCAGUGUUUUCUAUCCAAUACUACUAAUAAUAUGCAUAUAUUAGAAACUAUGAUUGAGGAGCAGGCCGUUUACUCUGGGCACCUCUGUACACCUUUCAUCCAAGCUACUCAAUACUGCCCCUGCAGCCACAAGAAGUUAAACCCCUCACCCCUAACCUAGCUAAAGUUAGCAAGAACAAAUUGGAAUUCGUAACAUAUCAUACAUAUUACAAGUUCGUAACAUAUUGUAUGAAUAUCAAUGCAUAAAAUAACAUUUGAAUUGUAAUUCAUAACAUACGAUAUGUCGUCUUAUACUGAACAACAAUCUAAACGCAACAAUUUCAAAGAUUUACAGUUCGUAUAAGGAAAUCAGUCAAUUGAAAUAAAUGAGGCCCUAAUCUAUGGAUUUCACACGACUGGGCAGGGGCUCAGCCAUGGGUGCGAUUUGGGAGGGCAUAGGCCCACUUGGGAGCCAGGCCCAGGCACUCAGCAUGAGUUUUUCCCCAGAAAAGGUCUUUAUUACAGACAGGAAUACUACUCAGACCCCUCCUAGACAAUCCUGCAGGUGAAGAGGUCCUGGGCUGCCGUGGUUACAUGUGAUCUGCAGUUGUGAGGCCGGUUGGAUGUACUGCCAAAUUCUCUAAAAGGACGUUAGAGGUGACUUAUGGUAGAGAUAUAAAUAUUGAGUUCUCUGGCAACAGCUCUGGUGGACAUUCUUGCAGUCAUCAUGACAAUUACACAUUCCCUAAACUUGAGACAUCUGUGAUGUUGUGUGGCCUUUUAUUGUCCCCCAGCACAAGGUGCACCUGUGUAAUGAUAAUGCUGUUUUAUCAGCAUCUUGAUAUGCCACACCUGUCAGGUGGAUGGAUUAUCUUGACAAAGGCUGAAAUGCUCACUAACAGGGAUAUAAACAAAGUUGUGCACAACAUUACAUUUUACAUUUAAGUCAUUUAGCAGACGCUCUUAUCCAGAGCGACUUACAAAUUAACAUUUGAGAGACAUUAGCUUUUUCUGCAUAUGGAACAUUGCUGGAUUUUAUUUCAGCUCAUGAAACCAACACUUUACAUGUUUAUUUUAUUUUUUAGUGCAGUUUAUUUACUGUGAUAGUCCAAUGUAAUGUUAUCUAACAUACUAAAUGGAGUGGCAUGGAUAUUUUUUAUAUAAUAUAAUACGUUCUGCUCUGAGACCAGGUUGUCCCUCUGCAGUAUUCCGUGGGAAGGAGCUAGUAUACACUUUUUUUUUUUAUUGAACCUUUGUUUAACUAGGCAAGUCAGUUAAGAACAAAUUCUCAUUUACAAUGACGGCCUAGAUACAGUGCCUUGUUCAGAGGAUGGUGUGAUGAUCAGUUUUCACCACUAGUUUGGGGGGGAUUGUUUUACAACUUUAUUUAAUGAGACACAGUUUAUGAAAUGAAUACAUGUUUAUUAAUUGUCUUUAAAACUAGAUUAGUUAUUUUAGAUACUGAUCAUGAAUGUGUUUGGAUAACUGCAUUGAAGCAAACUUUAUUGAUCUGCCAAUGAAAAAUAAAGUUACAUGAAUAUGUA